GUCGUUGCAAAUUCAACGACCGGGUUUAGCGGCCCGAGCACAUACAGGCGCACAAGCGCUUCCGACUCGAUUGCAUGCGCUUUUUUU
rnacentral:sRNA from 1 species